rnacentral:rRNA from 1 species
GACGAACGCUGGCGGCGUGCUUAACACAUGCAAGUCGAACGGAAAGGCCCUGCUUUUGUGGGGUGCUCGAGUGGCGAACGGGUGAGUAACACGUGAGUAACCUGCCCUUGACUUUGGGAUAACUUCAGGAAACUGGGGCUAAUACCGGAUAGGAGCCCCUGCUGCAUGGUGGGGGUUGGAAAGUUUCGGCGGUUGGGGAUGGACUCGCGGCUUAUCAGCUUGUUGGUGGGGUAGUGGCUUACCAAGGCUUUGACGGGUAGCCGGCCUGAGAGGGUGACCGGCCACAUUGGGACUGAGAUACGGCCCAGCCUCCUACGGGAGGCAGCAGUGGGGAAUAUUGCACAAUGGGCGGAAGCCUGAUGCAGGAACGCCGCGUGCGGGAUGACGACCUUCGGGUUGUAAACCGCUUUCGCCUGUGACGAAGCGUGAGUGACGGUAAUGGGUAAAGAAGCACCGGCUAACUACGUG